rnacentral:tRNA from 1 species
AGAAAAGUAUUUAAAAUUGAAUAAAGUCUGAUUUGCAAUUAGAAAUUGAAGUCUCCUUUUCUA